CACGAGUCAUCAGCUCGUGCCGAUUACGUCCCUGCCCUUUGUACACACCGCCCGUCGCUACUACCGAUUGAAUGGCUCGGUGAGGCCUUCGGACUGGCCCAGGAGGGUUGGCAACGACCCCCCAGGGCCGGAAAGUUGGUCAAACCCGGUCAUUUAGAGGAAGUAAAAGUCGUAACAAGGUUUCCGUAGGUGAACCUGCGGAAGGAUCAUUACCGAGUGUAGGGUUCCUAGCGAGCCCAACCUCCCACCCGUGUUUACUGUACCUUAGUUGCUUCGGCGGGCCCGCCAUUCAUGGCCGCCGGGGGCUCUCAGCCCCGGGCCCGCGCCCGCCGGAGACACCACGAACUCUGUCUGAUCUAGUGAAGUCUGAGUUGAUUGUAUCGCAAUCAGUUAAAACUUUCAACAAUGGAUCUCUUGGUUCCGGCAUCGAUGAAGAACGCAGCGAAAUGCGAUAACUAGUGUGAAUUGCAGAAUUCCGUGAAUCAUCGAGUCUUUGAACGCACAUUGCGCCCCCUGGUAUUCCGGGGGGCAUGCCUGUCCGAGCGUCAUUGCUGCCCAUCAAGCACGGCUUGUGUGUUGGGUCGUCGUCCCCUCUCCGGGGGGGACGGGCCCCAAAGGCAGCGGCGGCACCGCGUCCGAUCCUCGAGCGUAUGGGGCUUUGUCACCCGCUCUGUAGGCCCGGCCGGCGCUUGCCGAACGCAAAUCAAUCUUUUUCCAGGUUGACCUCGGAUCAGGUAGGGAUACCCGCUGAACUUAAGCAUAUCAAUAAGCGGAGGAAAAGAAACCAACCGGGAUUGCCUCAGUAACGGCGAGUGAAGCGGCAAGAGCUCAAAUUUGAAAGCUGGCUCCUUCGGGGUCCGCAUUGUAAUUUGCAGAGGAUGCUUCGGGUGCGGCCCCUGUCUAAGUGCCCUGGAACGGGCCGUCAGAGAGGGUGAGAAUCCCGUCUGGGAUGGGGU
rnacentral:rRNA from 1 species